AGACUUUUUAUUUGAUGUUUGCAUCUUUUAAAAAGUUGAGUGCCGAACGGGUGAGUAACACGUGGGUAACCUGCCUUAAAGUGGGGGAUAACACUUGGAAACAGGUGCUAAUACCGCAUAACCAUCAAAACCGCCUGGUUUUGAUGUUAAAGAUGGUUCUGCUAUCGCUUUAAGAUGGACCCGCGGCGUAUUAGCUAGUUGGUGAGGUAAUGGCUUACCAAGGCAAUGACACGUAGCCGAACUGAGAGGUUGAUCGGCCACAUUGGGACUGAGACACGGCCCAAACUCCUACGGGAGGCAGCAGUAGGGAAUCUUCCACAAUGGACGAAAGUCUGAUGGAGCAACGCCGCGUGAGUGAAGAAGGUUUUCGGAUCGUAAAACUCUGUUGUCAGAGAAGAACGUGUGUGAGAGUAACUGUUCACGCAGUGACGGUAUCUGACCAGAAAGUCACGGCUAACUACGUGCCAGCAGCCGCGGUAAUACGUAGGUGGCAAGCGUUGUCCGGAUUUAUUGGGCGUAAAGGGAACGCAGGCGGUCUUUUAAGUCUGAUGUGAAAGCCUUCGGCUUAACCGAAGUCGGGCAUUGGAAACUGGGAGACUUGAGUGCAGAAGAGGAGAGUGGAACUCCAUGUGUAGCGGUGAAAUGCGUAGAUAUAUGGAAGAACACCAGUGGCGAAAGCGGCUCUCUGGUCUGUAACUGACGCUGAGGUUCGAAAGCGUGGGUAGCAAACAGGAUUAGAUACCCUGGUAGUCCACGCCGUAAACGAUGAAUGCUAAGUGUUGGA
rnacentral:rRNA from 1 species